rnacentral:rRNA from 1 species
AGGUUACGUCAAGACUCACGGGUAUUAACCGUAGGCUUUUCUUCUCUACUGAAAGUGCUUUACAACCCGCAGGCCUUCUUCACACACGCGGCAUUGCUGGAUCAGGCUUGCGCCCAUUGUCCAAUAUUCCCCA